rnacentral:rRNA from 1 species
UACGUAGGGUGCGAGCGUAAUCGGAAUUACUGGGCGUAAAGCGUGCGCAGGCGGUUUUGUAAGCCAGAUGUGAAAUCCCCCGGGCUCAACCCUGGGGAACUGCAUUUGGGGACUGCAAGGCUAGAGUACGGGCAGGAGGGGGGGUAGAAUUCCUGGUGUAGCAGUGAAAUGCGUAGAUAUCAGGAGGAAUACCGAUGGCGAAGGCAGCCCCCUGGGUCGAUACUGACGCUCAUGCACGAAAGCGUGGGGAGCAAACAGG